UGGUACCAAAGCUUUAUGUGCUGAAAGAUGGUCUCGCGUCUGAUUAGCUAGUUGGUGAGGUAACGGCUCACCAAGGCGACGAUCAGUAGCCGGUCUGAGAGGAUGAACGGCCACAUUGGGACUGAGAUACGGCCCAGACUCCUACGGGAGGCAGCAGUGGGGAAUAUUGGGCAAUGGGGGAAACCCUGACCCAGCAACGCCGCGUGAAGGAAGAAGGCCUUCGGGUUGUAAACUUCUUUACCAGGGACGAAGAAC
rnacentral:rRNA from 1 species